AGAGCGAACGCUGGCGGCAGGCUUAACACAUGCAAGUCGAGCGGGCGUAGCAAUACGUCAGCGGCAGACGGGUGAGUAACGCGUGGGAACGUACCUUUUGGUUCGGAACAACCCAGGGAAACUUGGGCUAAUACCGGAUAAGCCCUUACGGGGAAAGAUUUAUCGCCGAAAGAUCGGCCCGCGUCUGAUUAGCUAGUUGGUGAGGUAAUGGCUCACCAAGGCGACGAUCAGUAGCUGGUAUGAGAGGAUGAUCAGCCACAUUGGGACUGAGACACGGCCCAAACUCCUACGGGAGGCAGCAGUGGGGAAUAUUGGACAAUGGGCGCAAGCCUGAUCCAGCCAUGCCGCGUGAGUGAUGAAGGCCCUAGGGUUGUAAAGCUCUUUUGUGCGGGAAGAUAAUGACGGUACCGCAAGAAUAAGCCCCGGCUAACUUCGCGCCAGCAGCCGC
rnacentral:rRNA from 1 species